rnacentral:tRNA from 1 species
GGGCGAUUAGCUCAGUUGGUCAGAGCGCACGGUUCACAUCCGUGAGGUCACUGGUUCGAGCCCAGUAUCGCCCACCA